UGGAAUGGGACCCGCAUGCCCAACGGAUGUGUUGUCCUUCUGAGGGCAUGGAAUAGGGGAAGGCAGUGGACUCCAACUGGUGCUACAUGACUCUCUGCUGGGGCCAACCAAUAGGCAUGGCUGAGGAGGACCCCUGGAGAGCCAGGCGCUCUGUCACCACUGCCACUGUCAUCACUGACCUGAGUCAGCACGGUUGGCCAACACUGUGGAAGACCAAGCGUCUAGGUGGCUCAAGGAGUGAGCUGUGGUGGGGUCAAAGAUAUUCCCGGCACUGGCUCUGAAGAGACUUCUCCAGGCCUCCUGGAAAGCAUUCUACUUAAUUAUUCUGUGAACUUAAAAGAUGGAGAACUUGGGGCCAACAAGAAGAGUUUUGCCUACAGUCACAGAGCAAGAAAGCAGCAGAGCCGACGUUCUCAAAGCCCCACCCCUAGACUGUAAUUGCAGAGCACCUCCGAGUCAGAGUCAGGAAGAGGAGAGGAGAGGCAGGACGAGGGUGCCAGAGCUUGCUGGAGGGAGAUGGCAGAAACUAAUGAGUUCCCUGCAGGACACAACAAAGCUAGAGGAGGCCUUGGAGAGACUGCAAAGGGGAGCUACAACGGAGCAGUCAAGGACAUAUAGUCUCACUUCUGUGACAGAGUGGGCGAGAGGUGCUUCAAGUUGGAAUUCUAGAAUUGGAGGUCCUGCAUAAGCCACGGCACUGGAUGAUUCCACUGCGCUGACAGUGAAUGAGCUUGGCUGGGCAUUUUGGAAGCCUUAUGGGACGGAGGGUGCCUGCUGAGAGUGCCUGUGCCCAGAAGAGGAACAGCAGAGAUGCCUGUAGAGAAGGCGGCACUGAGGAAGGCAAGCAGCACCUGGCGGAAUUCGCAGAGAGCUGGGGGCAGCUGGAGGGCGCCAUAUAUAUCACCUAAUCAGCCAGUCUUACUUGUGAAAUACCUCAUACAAUAAUUAAUGCACUCUUUCUAUUGCCACUUGACUUUACACCUUGGGCACUUCAAAGUAAACGCAAUUUGAGAAUGUGAUUUUUAACGACCUUGUAUCGUUCCAUCAUGUGAAUCUAAUAUAAUCUACUCAACAAUCUCCUAGUGUUGUGAAUUAUAAAUUAAUUGUCUUUA